AGAGUUUGAUCCUGGCUCAGGAUGAACGCUAGCUACAGGCUUAACACGUGCAAGUCAAGGGGAAACGACAUCGAAAGCUUGCUUUUGAUGGGCGUCGACCGGCGCACGGGUGAGUAACGCGUAUCCAACCUGCCCACCACUUGGGGAUAACCUUGCGAAAGUAAGACUAAUACCCAAUGACGUCUCUAGAAGACAUCUGAAGGAGAUUAAAGAUUUAUCGGUGAUGGAUGGGGAUGCGUCUGAUUAGCUUGUUGGCGGGGUAACGGCCCGACCAAGGCGACGAUCAGUAGGGGUUCUGAGAGGAAGGUCCCCCACAUUGGAACUGAGACACGGUCCAAACUCCUACGGAGGCA
rnacentral:rRNA from 1 species